CUCCCUCCCUAACUUGUCCUGGACUUCAAUACUCAAGCUCAGGAGUAGGGACCAGCAACUGACCAGAAGAGAAUACAGAAGUGGAGAAGAUCAAAGACUUAUGAAGAAGAGUUGGAAAUUGGGGAACAUUCGAGAGUUUGGAGCUGAGGAGCUCCAUGAUAUAUGCAUAAGGAAGAUUCAUCUUGAUAGGAUACAUUGGCAGAGACAAGAAUGGAG
rnacentral:lncRNA from 1 species